UACGUAGGGUGCAAGCGUUGUCCGGAAUUAUUGGGCGUAAAGAGCUCGUAGGCGGUCUGUCGCGUCGGAUGUGAAAGCCCGGGGCUUAACCCCGGGUCUGCAUUCGAUACGGGCAGACUAGAGUGUGGUAGGGGAGAUCGGAAUUCCUGGUGUAGCGGUGAAAUGCGCAGAUAUCAGGAGGAACACCGGUGGCGAAGGCGGAUCUCUGGGCCAUUACUGACGCUGAGGAGCGAAAGCGUGGGGAGCGAACAGG
rnacentral:rRNA from 1 species